rnacentral:rRNA from 1 species
UACGUAGGGUGCGAGCGUUAAUCGGAAUUACUGGGCGUAAAGCGUGCGCAGGCGGUUUUGUAAGCCAGAUGUGAAAGCCCCGGGCUCAACCUGGGAAUGGGCAUUUGGGACUGCAAGGCUUGAGUGCGGCAGAGGAGACUGGAAUUCCUGGUGUAGCAGUGAAAUGCGUAGAUAUCAGGAGGAAUACCGAUGGCGAAGGCAGGUCUCUGGGCUGACACUGACGCUCAUGCACGAAAGCGUGGGGAGCGAA